rnacentral:rRNA from 1 species
GACGUAGGGGGCAAGCGUUGUUCGGAAUUAUUGGGCGUAAAGCGCUCGUAGGCGGGACAGGAAGUUCGUGUUGAAAGACCUCGGCUCAACUGAGGGACCGGCUCGAAUACUCUUGUUCUUGAGGCAAUCAGAGGGUGAUGGAAUUCCCGGUGUAGCGGUGAAAUGCGUAGAUAUCAGGAGGAACACCAAUGGCGAAGGCAGCUCGCUGGGACGUGACUGACGCUGAGACGCGAAGCGUGGG